rnacentral:rRNA from 1 species
GGUUAAGCGACUAAGCGUACACGGUGGAUGCCCUGGCAGUCAGAGGCGAUGAAGGGCGUGCUAAUCUGCGAUAAGCGCCGGUAAGGUGAUAUGAACCGUUAUAACCGGCGAUACCCGAAUGGGGAAACCCAGUGUGACUCGUCACACUAUCAUUAACUGAAUCCAUAGGUUAAUGAGGCGAACCGGGGGAACUGAAACAUCUAAGUACCCCGAGGAAAAGAAAUCAACCGAGAUUCCCCCAGUAGCGGCGAGCGAACGGGGAGGAGCCCAGAGCCUGAAUCAGCAUGUGUGUUAGUGGAAGCGUCUGGAAAGGCGCGCGAUACAGGGUGACAGCCCCGUACACAAAAGCGCAUGUGCUGUGAGCUCGAUGAGUAGGGCGGGACACGUGGUAUCCUGUCUGAAUAUGGGGGGACCAUCCUCCAAGGCUAAAUACUCCUGACUGACCGAUAGUGAACCAGUACCGUGAGGGAAAGGCGAAAAGAACCCCGGCGAGGGGAGUGAAAAAGAACCUGAAACCGUGUACGUACAAGCAGUGGGAGCACAGGUUUACCUGUGUGACUGCGUACCUUUUGUAUAAUGGGUCAGCGACUUAUAUUCUGUAGCAAGGUUAACCGAAUAGGGGAGCCGGAGGGAAACCGAGUCUUAAUUGGGCGUUAAGUUGCAGGGUAUAGACCCGAAACCCGGUGAUCUAGCCAUGGGCAGGUUGAAGGUUGGGUAACACUAACUGGAGGACCGAACCGACUAAUGUUGAAAAAUUAGCGGAUGACCUGUGGCUGGGGGUGAAAGGCCAAUCAAACCGGGAGAUAGCUGGUUCUCCCCGAAAGCUAUUUAGGUAGCGCCUCGUGAAUUCAUCUCCGGGGGUAGAGCACUGUUUCGGCUAGGGGGCCAUCCCGGCUUACCAACCCGAUGCAAACUGCGAAUACCGGAGAAUGUUAUCACGGGAGACACACGGCGGGUGCUAACGUCCGUCGUGAAGAGGGAAACAACCCAGACCGCCAGCUAAGGUCCCAAAGUCAUGGUUAAGUGGGAAACGAUGUGGGAAGGCCCAGACAGCCAGGAUGUUGGCUUAGAAGCAGCCAUCAUUUAAAGAAAGCGUAAUAGCUCACUGGUCGAGUCGGCCUGCGCGGAAGAUGUAACGGGGCUAAACCAUGCACCGAAGCUGCGGCAGCGAACGUAUCACUUAAAGCGAUUCAGCGGGUUACGAUUGACGGAGCGAAGCGACGUCAAAGCGUAUACAAAGUCGAGUCGGUUUAAGGAUACGUUCGUUGGGUAGGGGAGCGUUCUGUAAGCCUGUGAAGGUGGCCUGUGAGGGUUGCUGGAGGUAUCAGAAGUGCGAAUGCUGACAUAAGUAACGAUAAAGCGGGUGAAAAGCCCGCUCGCCGGAAGACCAAGGGUUCCUGUCCAACGUUAAUCGGGGCAGGGUGAGUCGACCCCUAAGGCGAGGCCGAAAGGCGUAGUCGAUGGGAAACGGGUUAAUAUUCCCGUACUUGGUGUUACUGCGAAGGGGGGACGGAGAAGGCUAUGUUGGCCGGGCGACGGUUGUCCCGGUUUAAGCGUGUAGGCUGGUUUUCCAGGCAAAUCCGGAAAAUCAAGGCUGAGGCGUGACGACGAGGCACUACGGUGCUGAAGCAACAAAUGCCCUGCUUCCAGGAAAAGCCUCUAAGCAUCAGGUAACAUCAAAUCGUACCCCAAACCGACACAGGUGGUCAGGUAGAGAAUACCAAGGCGCUUGAGAGAACUCGGGUGAAGGAACUAGGCAAAAUGGUGCCGUAACUUCGGGAGAAGGCACGCUGACACGUAGGUGAAGUGAUUUACUCAUGGAGCUGAAGUCAGUCGAAGAUACCAGCUGGCUGCAACUGUUUAUUAAAAACACAGCACUGUGCAAACACGAAAGUGGACGUAUACGGUGUGACGCCUGCCCGGUGCCGGAAGGUUAAUUGAUGGGGUCAGCGCAAGCGAAGCUCCUGAUCGAAGCCCCGGUAAACGGCGGCCGUAACUAUAACGGUCCUAAGGUAGCGAAAUUCCUUGUCGGGUAAGUUCCGACCUGCACGAAUGGCGUAAUGAUGGCCAGGCUGUCUCCACCCGAGACUCAGUGAAAUUGAACUCGCUGUGAAGAUGCAGUGUACCCGCGGCAAGACGGAAAGACCCCGUGAACCUUUACUAUAGCUUGACACUGAACAUUGAGCCUUGAUGUGUAGGAUAGGUGGGAGGCUUUGAAGCGUGGACGCCAGUCUGCGUGGAGCCGACCUUGAAAUACCACCCUUUAAUGUUUGAUGUUCUAACGUGGACCCGUAAUCCGGGUUGCGGACAGUGUCUGGUGGGUAGUUUGACUGGGGCGGUCUCCUCCUAAAGAGUAACGGAGGAGCACGAAGGUUGGCUAAUCCUGGUCGGACAUCAGGAGGUUAGUGCAAUGGCAUAAGCCAGCUUGACUGCGAGCGUGACGGCGCGAGCAGGUGCGAAAGCAGGUCAUAGUGAUCCGGUGGUUCUGAAUGGAAGGGCCAUCGCUCAACGGAUAAAAGGUACUCCGGGGAUAACAGGCUGAUACCGCCCAAGAGUUCAUAUCGACGGCGGUGUUUGGCACCUCGAUGUCGGCUCAUCACAUCCUGGGGCUGAAGUAGGUCCCAAGGGUAUGGCUGUUCGCCAUUUAAAGUGGUACGCGAGCUGGGUUUAGAACGUCGUGAGACAGUUCGGUCCCUAUCUGCCGUGGGCGCUGGAGAACUGAGGGGGGCUGCUCCUAGUACGAGAGGACCGGAGUGGACGCAUCACUGGUGUUCGGGUUGUCAUGCCAAUGGCACUGCCCGGUAGCUAAAUGCGGAAGAGAUAAGUGCUGAAAGCAUCUAAGCACGAAACUUGCCCCGAGAUGAGUUCUCCCUGAGACUUUAGGUCUCCUGAAGGAACGUUGAAGACGACGACGUUGAUAGGCCGGGUGUGUAAGCGCAGCGAUGCGUUGAGCUAACCGGUACUAAUGAACCGUGAGGCUUAACCUU